CAAAGAAUAGUUAAAUUCAGAACCCUAGCUUACGGACCUAGAGAUGAGAGUUAAAAUCUCCCUUCUUUGA
rnacentral:tRNA from 1 species